AUUGAACGCUGGCGGCAGGCCUAACACAUGCAAGUCGAACGAGCGGCGGACGGGUGAGUAAUGUCUGUGAAACUGCCCGAUGGAGGGGGAUAACUACUGGAAACGGUAGCUAAUACCGCAUACCAUCGGAUGUGCCCAGAUGGGAUUAGCUAGUAGGUGGGGUGACGGCUCACCUAGGCGACGCUCCCUAGCUGGUCUGAGAGGAUGACCCGCACCACUGGAACUGAGACACGGUCCAGACUCCUACGGGAGGCAGCAGUGGGGAAUAUUGCACAAUGGGCGCAAGCCUGAUGCAGCCAUGCCGCGUGUAUGAAGAAGGCCUUCGGGUUGUAAAGUACUUUCAGCGAGGAGGCGUUACUCGCAGAAGAAGCACCGGCUAACUCCGUGCCAGCCGCCGCGGUAAUAC
rnacentral:rRNA from 1 species